rnacentral:lncRNA from 1 species
CAAAAUCUUUUUUUUACUUUAGAGUUGCGUGGAUCAGGAGCUGGAUUUUUUCACAUUUACUUCAUUUACAUAUGCAGUUCUUAACUGUAUGCCUCCCGCUCAGGCUGAAUAGAAACAUAUCUCAUGGCAGCUAUGUCCUGAGCUCUUCACACCUACAAGAAAUGUACAAGAGGAAGCCAAAACAUGGGUUUGGAGAAGAAAUGUACCUACCACACCCAGCAACACCUACAAGUCUGGAUGCCCAGCAACCACAAGAAACAUCCUGUACCACAACAGACCUUUCCCUUCCCAAGUUUCAACCUCCCCCCCUCCAGUCAAAACUUUCCACCCUCCCCCGAUGACCUACCUUCCCCUGAUGACCUCUCUUCCCCUACCCAAACCACCCUAUAAAAGUCUCUUCUUGCCCUGCCAUUGCUGUCACCUGUCUUUUCACUCUUGGCCCACCUACACCUAGGCUGAAAUAAACUCCGUUUGUUGCUUUAACUAUUCCUGACUUGGUGGUCUCAAUAGCACCU